CAUCCUUGCAUUCAUUUAUAUUCGAAGGCAGAGGCAGAAAAACAAAUAACGUAAAUACAGCAGGGAACCAAAGCCAAGGGUCGAAGGUUAGGACACAGCCGUCGAGAUGAAAACGAACACGAAUGAUCCCCGUGGUGGCAAUAGCUUGAGUGUGUGUCGUGGACUUGUGAAGGAUUACCGCGUCUCAGCUUUUUUUGACGCGGACAUGAGACGCUUACAAGUGUGUUUUGCGACACGUGAUGCACCAAGACGCCGCGGAUAGGAUGCAGAGGCGAGCGUGGAGACCCGGGAAGCCGUGACCGAGGCAAGGAAAAGUGAAUGGGUGGGUCGUGGACGCUGCCUGCCUGCCUUCCUGCCUGACUUGCCUCCGCCUCCACCCACCACCACCAUCAGCGCCUGUUACGUGCCUUGCUGCCUUUCCAUCAUCGCUGCUCUUCUCUUGAUGUGCCACGCGGGGCCAGCGAGCAAACCCGAGGGAAGGAUUGUAUGGAAAUUAGACAUUGUUCCGUCCCGUGGGGCGGAAGGUGAACGGCGAGGAACCGGCUCUGACCCAUCGGCGGCCGGGCACUUGUGUGGGCGGCGGCCGAGACUGUCAGGCGUGGAGGGCCAUCUGGAAGCCUUCUUACUAAAGCAGUCGCCAUGUUGAUGUCCAGUCCUUUCAUGUGGGCAGUCAGUCACACAAGCACAAGCGAGGCAAUAGAUCGUCCGUGUGGCGGCGCGGCGAGCGGCAGUGGGCGGGUGGAGGAUUUACGUCGCCAAACAACCCCCGAGGCACAGCGCCGCGGGGCUGAUGGCGGUGAGCGACGGGCAACGUUCGGCCCUGAUGGAGAAAACAACGCCCUGGGACCGUCCGUCGGUUCCUGGGAUGGUCGUGCUUCCCUUGCGUCACGUUCUUGGGACCGGCCGCGGGCGGUAGGCAACAAAAACGCUGCUGGUGUGUACAUGAAACAGGCAACAGGAAAAAAAGUUGCUCUCACUACUUUACUACGUUUUUUUUUUUUUUUACCAAUCCAGGAUGUUAUUCCAGAAAAAAACUUAGGAAAUGUUAUCAAGACCACUAAACUGAGAUAAGUUGUGUUGCUUGAACGUCAACGAGUAAUGUCCGUCCGUAAUAACAGUGAAUGUUACGAAGCCUUUACACUAACGUCAUCAAAGGUAUUCAGUGCCAUCGGAAGAUUAACUGGAAAAGUAAAGUGACGCAGUGAAUAUUUCCAAGAACUUGCAUUCUAUUUUAACAGAAACUGAGAUUUCGAAUGUCAUCCUCAGGUUCCGAUAGCCGUAACGCAUCAGUAGCGAGUAUAAACAACGUACAAUGCAUUCCAGAAACGAAGGAGCGAAUAUUUUCUAGCCCUUACACUUAACCUUUUAAACAAAGGUAUCGGAUGUCAUCUGAAGGCCGCUUGAACAAUGAUGCGUCAGUAGCGUCUCUGAACAAUUGAGACAAACUGGAACGGGUCACGGCAGAUUCUAAUCAGGGUCGUGCCUCGAGCCUGGGAAGGGAAACAGAGUGAGAGGGAGAAUCUGGAUAAUCCUCGGCUCUGUGCAGUCCUACCCGUGAUAAGGAAGGCAGGAUUUGCAAGUUGUUAAUGAGGAAGUGAAGGCGGAGCGACACGACUUUUGUGCUCUUGUUGGUGAGGCGAACAAAGGAACAGAGUCGCGUGAAUGCAAUGACUGUUGUGUUCUGAUGGCCAAGGCGAACAAAAAAGCAGAAAGCAUCAAGGGAAGGCUGAAGGCUGUGCAACAAGACUACCUAACAUUAUGAUGACUAGCGAGGAUCGAACAGGCGUCACCAACCUACACGUCUUCAUCAACAACGUGUCAUUAAAGUAUGAAUGAAAGACAAAACAGCGAAAUGACUUUGUGAAUGCUUCAGAAAUGGAGUAGAGAAGCGAAUACGUCCCGAAUACAUACACGAAUAUAUCAGGAAUCAGCAACGUGUCCAUAAAGUUUGAUAAAUAAAUGAAGGAACUCGUUUUGUAAUACGUGUUCCUAUAAUUAAUGGAGGUAUACUUGAUUCCUCGGUUAGUCUCAGUCCCCCCUUGACCUCAGCUCUAUAUAGGCGUGAAUGUUUAUGUAAUCGACCAACGUAGAAAAAAAUGGGGUAAAGGGAACAAAAGCCUUCAACCCCUUUCUCUUCUUUCGCUCCUUUCCCUUAUUUUUAUUCCUCUCUCUUUCUGGACUAUAAAUGCUAUGACUAAAAAAAGUAUCGUAGCCAGAACACAGACUCCUUCAACUCCUUACUCCCUGUUCUGCUCCUCCCUCCCCCUCCUCCCUCCUCUUUUCUUUUCUUUUUACUCCGGGUUAUAAACGCUAUAAUCAAAUUGCAAAAAAAUACAAAACGAUGCCGUGGAGGGAUCAUAAAAGCUUUCAAACCCUCUUACUUUACAUCUGAACUCUUUCUUUUUCUCCCUCUUUUUUUCCCCUCACUUUCCCUCUCUAUUCUUCCCUUCCUCCCUCCACAGGCUCAUAGGGAACAUAACUUUUUUAUUCCUCCUUUUUUUUCUUCUUCCCUUCCUUGCACUGACUUGGAUAGGGGAAGAAAUACCGUGUUGAAAAGAGGAAAAAAAUAUUGCUAAACGUAUCUCCUCCUUCUAUUGUGUUUCUUCUGGGUAUAGCGUUUUGUUACCCAGAAUAAGGUCAGAGGGGAGAAGGGAAGCAGUGACCUGUUAUUAUCACUUCGAGGAACUGUCUGAUUUUCUUUGCGCGGGUUCCUGUAUACAAUGUUACUAAGUUGGUCUGUUUCGCUUACUCCUCGUCGUCCUCUUCCUCCGCCUCCUCAUUAGUGGUGUUCAGUGUUACCAGCUCAUUGUACUUUGUUGAUCCAGAUUUUCAGAUGCUCUUUUUUUUUUUUAAUUCCGUUCUUCCUUUCCUUAUAUCCUUCUCUCUUCUCUUAUAUUGCUCUCCCUUAUAUGGUUCUUCUUUAUAUCCUCCCUCCUUCCCUUAUUUCAUUCUUCCGUUUAUCGUUUUUCCUUCUCUUUUAAUCGUAUUUCCUUCCCCUAUUAUGUUCUUCCUCCCUUUAUAUCCUUCUUUCUCCCUUGACUUGGUUCUUUUUUGUGUAUUUUUAUGCUCAGUGUCCUUCUCUCUGUAUUUUCCUUGUUUGCCUUCAAAUAAAACUAAAUAUCCAAGCCUGUUUUUAUUAUGUUUCUUCUCCUUUUUAUUAUUUUUCUUUUAUCUUGUUUUUUCCUUCUAAUUCUGGUCUGAUUCUUCUUCGUUUUUUUCUAGUGUUUGUUCUUAAUCUUGUCCUUGCUUUUUUGGUAUGUUUUUCUUUCCUUCUACUUCUCCUUCUCGUCCAUCAUCCUCGUUAUGUUUUAUUUUAUUCCACUCUCACUUAACAUCUAUUUCAACACAUGCUUCCACCCACUUUUGUUUCGGUCAAUAUCACCUUUGUCUCCGUACCUCUUCUGACGCUAAACCUGAAUCCUCUUGUCUCGUUUUCCUCUCUUACAUCAUCAGUUUCAUUUCUUUUUUCCUCUUUUUUACUUCCUUUAUCUUUAUCCUGACGUGUGUUUCUCUUCUUGACUCAUUUUCCCUCUCCCUCCUCUCAUUCUUUCGUCCUGACUUCCUCCAUUAUUUUCACAUUCGCAUCCUUUCCCGGUAAAUGUAAUUCCCCCAUGAAGGAUUAUAUCUUGCUCAGUCACCCCUUCCUUCCUUUACUGGCAAUCACCUUUUCCUCCCUGCAUUUACCAAGAACUCUGCCUCUAUCCUCCUCAUGUUUAAGGUAACCAUAUACUCUUUCCCAGCACCUACUUCUCUACUCUCCUUCUCUCGUCUUCUCAUCUUCUCUCUUUUAGCACCUCCUCCUCCUUAUCCUCCUCUCUCUCCUCCCACUUCUCACCUUCCCAUCCUAUACCUUCUCGCUCAGCCCCUAUUCCUCCUCUAAUCUUCUCUCAUCUGUUCCUUCUUCAUCUCCUCAGCCUAUACUCUCCCUCAGCACCUCCUUCUCCUCCUACUUCACUUCUUAUGAACCGAAUUUUUUUUAUAGAACCUACCUCUCCCCUGCUUUUUCCUCCUUCAUUUUUUACAUCGCCUCGUUUUCCCUCCUCUCGCUCUCUCGCUCUCCUUUCCCUUUCCCUCUAUUCCACCUGACCCUUCACCGAGUGCUGUUAUUGUCCUGUCCUGCCCCGCGGCCACAAGAGGGAAAGUGGCGUCGCUGGUGAAAGGGUGUAGGGGCGUUACUAUAGGGCAGGGCGGGGAGGAGGAGGGGGCGCUGCGAGGGACCUUGGCUGCCCGUCUGAGAGGCUUAUCACUCCCUAGGAAGAAGGAUUUGCCGAGGAAGGAGAGUUCAGUGCUCUUAUGGUUGUGACUGGUGGCUUGUGUUAGUGUGUUUAUUGUUGUUCUUGUGGUGGUGGUGUUAUAUAUGUGUUUGUGAUAGUCGUGAUAGUGGUGGUAGGAGUGGUGGUGGUGGUGGUGGCAGUAGUAGUAGUAGUAGUGGUAGUAGUAGUAGUAGUAUGCGGCGUUUUUUUUAUAUAUAUAGAGAGAGAUUUCCGCGCUGAUAAUCUCGCUAUAUUUGAAGGUAUUUGUUUUCUUUGUCUUUUAGUUUUAUUUGUGUAUUUGUUUUUAUACGCUCAAAGUUAUUUUUGAUUUUGUUUCUUUUGUUGUUAUUGUUGUUGUUUCUAUGAUUUUAAAUAUUUGUUUUAUUUUUUAUCGAUGUUUCCCGGUAAUUCUGUUCAUCCUUUCCAUGCUUCAUAUUAAACCCCCGCCCACACACACUCCUUUUGUGCCUUUCAUUCGUUAUGUUUAAAAAAAAUAC